ensembl:lncRNA
GCACCAUAUCACCAGGUAACAUUCUGAGUAUGUUGUCUAGCAGCACCAUAUCACCAGGUAACAUUCGGAGGAUGUUGUCUAGCAGCACCAUAUCACCAGGUAACAUUCGGAGGAUGUUGUCUAGCAGCACCAUAUCACCAGGUAACAUUCGGAGGAUGUUGUCUAGCAGCACCAUAUCACCAGGUAACAUUCGGAGGAUGUUGUCUAGCAGCACCAUAUCACCAGGUAACAUUCGGAGGAUGUUGUCUAGCAGCACCAUAUCACCAGGUAACAUUCGGAGGAUGUGUAAUUGUACUUGGCAAAUAAAGGUGAUUCUGAUCAAAAAUAUUGUAGUGAACGGUGGGUCAGGGAAGUGUGAGUCCUCAGAUAUCAAUCAGUAUUCUGCUGUUCCUAACCAAAAUACCAGCAACAGUGUGUGAACCUUGUGAAGACUUACAGAAAACAUUUGACCUCUGUCAUUGCCAACAAAAGGUAUAUAACAAAGUAUUGAGAAACUUUUGUUAUUGACCAAAUACUUAUUUUCCACCAUAAUUUGCAAAUAAAUUCAUAAAAAAUGCUACAAUGUGAUUUUCUGGAUUUUCUUUUCUAAUUUUGUCUGUCAUAGUUGAAGUGUACCUAUGUUUCCCAUGCCAAUAAUUCCCCUCGAAUUGAAUUGAAUAAUUAGAUAGUCUCCCAAGUGAGGAUGGCUUUCACUUCAGCAGUAAUAAAUUCAUGAACUUCUUUGAGGAAAAUAUCAUGAUCAUUAGAAAGCAAAUUACAGACUCCUCUUUAAAUAUGCGUAUUCCUCCAAACCUCAGUUGUCCUGAGUCUGCACAACUCUGCCAGGACCAAGGAUCAAGAGAGACACUAGGGUCUUUUAGUACUGUAUCUCUUGACACAAUGAUGAAAAUAAUCAUGGCCUCUAAACCUUCAAGCUGCAUACUGGACCCUAUUCCAACUAAACUA